GAUUAGCCAUGCAUGUCUAAGUAUAAGCAAUUAUACAGCGAAACUGCGAAUGGCUCAUUAAAUCAGUUAUCGUUUAUUUGAUAGUACCUUACUACAUGGAUAACCGUGGUAAUUCUAGAGCUAAUACAUGCUGAAAACCCCGACUUCGGAAGGGGUGUAUUUAUUAGAUUAAAAACCAAUGCCCUUCGGGGCUCACUGGUGAUUCAUGAUAACUUCUCGAAUCGCACGGCCUUGCGCCGGCGAUGGUUCAUUCAAAUUUCUGCCCUAUCAACUUUCGACGGCUGGGUCUUGGCCAGCCGUGGUGACAACGGGUAACGGAGGGUUAGGGCUCGACCCCGGAGAAAACGCCUGAGAAACGGCGUUUACAUCCAAGGAAGGCAGCAGGCGCGCAAAUUACCCAAUGCCGACACGGCGAGGUAGUGACGAGAAAUACUGAUACAGGGCUCUUUUGGGUCUUGUAAUUGGAAUGAGUACAAUUUAAAUCUCUUAACGAGGAACAAUUGGAGGGCAAGUCUGGUGAACGUUCCAGUUCCGAUGCUGGUGCCAGAGAUAGCGGUUAAAUAGCCCACGCUAGUCGAGCAUCCGCCAUCAGCGGGAGGAUGCCGGCGAGACAACCUGGAUCGGGGGACGCUAAGGUGCCGAAGGGCGCUAUGCCAAUCCCGAGCGGAGUCCACUGACGGACCCGUGUAGAGCGCGCAAAGGUGUCGGUCCGGCUCGGUCGAGCUGGGCUUAAGGUACGUGCCGAUCCCCCGCGAAAGCGGGGCCGCGUCCAAGAGUGCCCGCUGCACGAAUGGACGUGGUGUCGAGGCUAGGGGGCGCCCCCCCUAACCUCGCAAGUAAUACAGCCUAAAAUGGCCAGCAGCCGCGGUAAUUCCAGCUCCA
rnacentral:rRNA from 1 species